ensembl:misc_RNA Metazoa_SRP Metazoan signal recognition particle RNA
GCCAGGCAUUGUGGUGCAUGCUUGUAGUUCCAGCUACUUGGGAGGCUCAGGUGGGAGGAUUGCUUGAGCCCAGGAAUUUGAGGCUGCAGUGAGCUAUUGUAGCGCCACAGCACUCUAGCCUGGGCAACAAAGCAAGACCCUGUCUCUA